AACCAUUCUCACCUGCGGCUAGACCUGCGGAAGGAUCAUUACCGAGUUAGGGUAGUCACACUGCCCGACCUCCCAACCCUGUGUCUACCAUACCUUGUCGUUGCUUCGGCGGACCGGUUGACCAACUGGUCAUGACCGCCGGGGGCUGGCUCUGUCCCCCCUGGAGAGCGUCCGCCGAUGGCCCAACCACAAAACUCUUGUACCGAAACGUGUCGUCUGAGUUAUGUUUGAGAAAUCAAA
rnacentral:misc_RNA from 1 species